GAUGAACGCUGGCGGCGUGCUUAACACAUGCAAGUCGAACGGAAAGGCUCCUGCUUGCAGGGGUACUCGAGUGGCGAACGGGUGAGUAACACGUGGGUGAUCUGCCCUGCACUUCGGGAUAAGCCCGGGAAACUGGGUCUAAUACCGGAUAGGACGAUGGUUUGGAUGCCAUUGUGGAAAGUUUUUCGGUGUGGGAUGAGCUCGCGGCCUAUCAGCUUGUUGGUGGGGUAAUGGCCUACCAAGGCGUCGACGGGUAGCCGGCCUGAGAGGGUGUACGGCCACAUUGGGACUGAGAUACGGCCCAGACUCCUACGGGAGGCAGCAGUGGGGAAUAUUGCACAAUGGGCGCAAGCCUGAUGCAGCGACGCCGCGUGGGGGAUGACGGCCUUCGGGUUGUAAACUCCUUUCGCUAGGGACGAAGCGCAAGUGACGGUACCUGGAGAAGAAGCACCGGCUAACUACGU
rnacentral:rRNA from 1 species